CAGACUUGUGAUGGAAACAAAGGAAUCAGGUAACAACCUUCCCCCAUGAGAGCCUCCGCCAGGGAUUGCAAUCAAGGAGGCGACGUUGAGAGACAGGCCAGCAAAGGCACAUGGGGUGAGGAGGCAGCAGGGACCUCUAGGCCCAGCCCCCCUGCUUUGGGGGCGGGGGUUCUCCUGUCUUCUUGAGUUCCUACUGCUUUUUGUGCCUAAGCAAUACAGAGGUAAAUGGCAUUUUGUAGGUGGCUGCAUCACAACGCGAUGACCCAACAUCGCGUCCCAUGAAAUCCACGAUGGAAAUGAAGGAUGAAUCACACCACCACUGAUUCAGCUCCCACAUAGAUCCACUGUAAGUGUUUAUUGUGUCUGUACCGGGCCUCAGAGAGCAAAUCACACAGAAGCCAGGCUGGGAGGCUUUCCAGCUAACAGCAAUUAGGACAGUGCCGUUCCGAUGCCGUUCUCAAGUCACCAUCUUCGUUCCUCUCGGACGGAGGUUUAGCUGCACAAUCCCCCCAGCCUCCUGCCAGUCCCUGAGGCCACCAGCAGCCCCAACGAGGCCCAGCACGGCUCGGGAGGUGCAGCAAUGACCCGUCUCCUCCUGCCCACCCCGCUAGGUGGCCCUGCGAGCCCGGCCAACAGCCGGGGCUGCCCGCCCUGCGCAGCGCAGGCACCGACAGCAGCCCAGCAAACACGUCGGGAACAACCUCUUUUAAAACAGGAAUGAAAUUCGAUUACUGUCAGUGCGUGGAUGUUCAGAGUCUCACAGCAAAUGCCUCAUUUUGACGGUAAACGGGGGUAGGUGGAGGCAGGCAUCCACAGCCUCAGGCUGGAUUAGGCAUCAUGGGCGUGUUCAAUGGCCGCCUCUGGCAAGCAGAGAUCUCGCUGCAUGACUCUGAGCUGCUCAGGUAAUCCCUGAAGUGCUUCAGGAGGUCAGCAGAGGAGAGGAGGAAAGAGGAGACACUAAAGCAAGCACAUGCAGAUGUGGUUUCUGUGGGUUGGUGAAGGAGAGGAAGCAGGAGGUAAAAGCUGGAAGCUGUGCUUGGAUUAUACCUCUUCAUUUCCUAGAUGGAAAAAAAAACCCCUUCAGCCUACAUGGUCCUUCCAGAAAACAACAAUUUUAUCCCUCCCUCCUCCCCUUUUGGUAGUGUCUUUAUUUACACUGUUUCAAAACCUAUUUUGCUUGAAAAGAAAUGUUGAUGAGGUUUGGAUUUCCUCCCUGCAUUUCCUAGGCAGAGUUGCUGGUGCUUUGGUCUGCCUGUCUGAGCCCAACGUGAAUUCCAAAUUGUUAGUAUUAUUUUACUGAGAAGAGCAGAUUUUCUGACUUUUCUAAUUCAUACACAGCUAUGCUGUGGGGCUGUGAAACCGUGAUGUUCCAUUGUUGCCAUACUUAUAAAAGCUUUCCCCCAGCUUUGUAAACUCCCAAGUAACUACAGAAAAGGCACAGAGCUUCAGAGUAACCAAAGCCAAGAGGAUGAGGCCCCGUAACUGAGGGAAUUAGGAAUUUUUCCAUUCACUUCAUUGAGUUUUGGUUCAAACACUGUGAAGUCAGAUUCAUCCGUACAUAUCAAAUGAAUGGAGAAAUUCCAAACAUGGACAACAUGAUACCAUUCCUGCAACUACUGAAGAAGGUAGGGAGUAGGAAAGGUGUGUGGUCAGACUUGCUACUAAUCCUUCUUGCAAAAUAUCAAAACCCCAGGAAAGGACAAGAAGAAACAACAGCUUAAGCCUGUAAACCCUUUCAAAGAGGAUGGAAGGAAAGUGGUGUUUGUGGCCAGAACUCCCAAGGCAGAUGAGAAGAGAAAGCACAGCCUGAAAAGUGCAGCUCUGUUGGUUGUGCGGAGCCUCAGAACCUGGCUCAGUAUAGGCAGACUAAAAGUAAACCAUCACAGACCCAAUAUGUAGGAUGCAACCUUUUCUUUCAAGUUCAUGCAGUGGUGUAGGGAAAGAAGUGAAGGCCUGGAAAAUUCAGAAAAUGAAAGGAAGCAGUGGUAUUAUUUCUCAAAUUUGUAAUUAACAGAAGGUAGAGGGUGUGAUAUACUCUAUGCUAAGAUAGAAUUAAAAAAAAAAUCACAGAACCGCUGAAUCAUUUGGGUUGGAAAAGACCUUCAAGAUCAUCAAGUCCAACCAUUGACCUCUCCCACUGAGUUCAUCACUAAAUCACGUCCCCCAGUGCCACUUGCACACAUCUCUUAAAUACCUCCAGGCAUAGGAACUGCACCGCUUCUCUGGGCAGCCCAUUCCAAUGCUUGACCACUUCUUAAUUGUAAAGAAAUUCUCCCUAAUGACCAAACUAAAGAAUUUCCUUGUGUUUGAUCACUUGUCACCUGAGAAAAGAGACCAACACCCCCCUCUUUGAAACCUCCUUUCAGAUAGUCAUCAGGAGCAGUGAGGUCUCCCCUCAUCUCAUCUUCUCCAGAUUAAACAACCCUGAUUCCCUCAGCUGCUCUUUAUAAGUCUUGAAACACUAAAGGCUAAAUCUUGGUUAUUUUCAAUAAUUAGAAUUAAUAAACAAAAUCCCUAAUCAUGCUGCAUCUGCUUUUAAAUUGUAACAAGAAUAAUGACACACAACAAAGCCAUGCUACUAUCAACACAUGACAGCUCUAAGAAGCAUUGGCAUCCAAUAAUUUGCCUGUGGAACCAUUUGUUAACAUUUUAAAGUAGAUAAAGAAGAAUACCACUUAAUCAUUGAAACAGAUGAGCUUCCAGGAGCCUGGACCACUGGGAAGGAAGUUGGGUGUGCAGUCCAACUAUCUUCUACAAACAGAUGUGCUCAGCUUGGGCCCAGAAAUAAUGAACAAGCGGGCAGCCUUGAGUGUGCAAAGACAGGCUGUGACACGGGCAGGCAGAAGUAUGUAAGGUGGUAGGAUAAAGAGAAGAGACUUUGGGAAUAAAAGGAUGGAAUUCUGCAAGGAGAAUGUUCGGGGUCAUUUGGGAAUUAACUGUGCCAGUGAAUCUGCGGGUUACAAAUGGGUGUAAUACAGGACAGAAGCCACGCAUCAUCACUUUCUACUUCCCCUGCAAAAGACAUCCUCCGUUAAGUCUUGAUCAAGGACUGUGCUGUACAUCACAGAAGAGGAGGCAGGAUGCAGAAAUUCAGUAAUUUCCAUUAACUGACACUAGACUAAAACCAUAAUUGAUUAAACAAACAAAAAAAAGUGGUUUGGGGCGGUCUAUUAGCUUCUGCUUUGCUGCUUACCAUCCACACAAAUUCAUUACAGAGUACAAGUUAGUAAGAUGUCCAUCUGCCUAUUAAUAAUUGAUUUAAUUUAACACAUGAAGUGUGUGUAAUCUGUUUCCUUGUUCCUCUGUAAAUAUAACCUAUGAAUCAUUGGUAACCAGUAAAGAAGCU
ensembl:lncRNA